GACGUCGAAUAUCGACGUCAUAAACACCAAAGUUGAUCGUGUUUAUGACGUCGAAUAUCGACGUCACAAACACCAAAGUUGAUCGUGUUUAUGACGUCGAAUAUCGACGUCAUAAACACCAAAGUUGAUCGUUUUUAUGACGUCGAAUAUCGACGUCAUAAACACCAAAGUUGAUCGUGUUUAUGACGUCGAAUAUCGACGUCAUAAACACCAAAUUUGAUCGUGUUUAUGGCGUCGAAUAUCGACGUC
rnacentral:miRNA from 1 species